rnacentral:misc_RNA from 1 species
GCCAACUAGUAGAGGAAUGCAAAUUCCUUGUGUCAUUUCUGGUCUUUGUCCUCUGGAAACUUCAGAGCUCACUGUCCUUACUGAUCUCCUUUCUCGUUCGUCUAAGCAAAUUCUGCUCGGCCAGUACAAGUCUCCAUUGCCUUUGCCUGGUCGAAUGCCAAUUAGCCGGCCCAGUGACAUGCUAUUGUCUUGGAAGAAGGAUGCUGUAGACUCAGUGUCAAGGUUGGAGGAUGAGAAAGAGGAAAAAGUGGGCA